AAAACGACUCUCGGCAAUGGAUAUCUAGGCUCUCGCAUCGAUGAAGAACGUAGCGAAAUGCAAUACUUGGUGUGAAUUGCAGAAUCCCGCGAAUCAUCGAGUUUUUGAACGCAAGUUGCGCCCGAAGCCAUUCGGCCGAGGGCACGUUUGCCUGGGUGUCACGC
rnacentral:rRNA from 3 species